UUUGAAACUAUGUUUGGAGAUAAUGGGCAGUUUCACUUUCUAUUAUUAAUCCUAAGCUUAUUCUCUGAAUAUAGGCCACUGGACACUUUUCUGCAAUCAGUCAGUGGAGUCUGUGAGUCUAAUUGUAGGUUUACCUCAAGAAAAAUCUUUUUCAUCCUGUAAUGAUAAAUGAUUUUACCUCCUGAGGUCUGUAGUUGAGUCCUAGUGUCACUGGGUUAGUAUCACUAAACAUCAAAGUUCUGAAACUAAAUCCCCACACAAAGAGUAAAAGCUAGAUGUGACAAUUCAGAUACUAGUUCAGUUUGUUUUUUUUUAAAAAAGAAAAAUGUAAAAUAAAUACAAAAUGUGAUGCACAUGUGUGCAUGCGUGCAAUUGGACAUAAGUAUAUGCAUAUCAACAGCAGUAUAUGAGGCUGUAAAUGAAUAUCAAGUAGUUCAUACUACAUAAGUCAAUUGCAGCAGUGCCGUUUGAAGUUUAUUAUCCAUUACUGGUGAGUAUAGAUGAUACACCAGACUUCUUUUUAUUAAUGUAAAAGUUUCCUUUAUUUGGAUGGGAUCUGGCAUUUGCAUAUUAAUAAUGUCAAUACAGAACAUGAAAAAUGUUUUACUAGUAAAUUCUAAGUAACACAAAACAGAACUCAACAAUUAAACCCAAUUUUUAUUCCUAGACUUAAACCAACAUGUAUACAAAAUAUCAUUACUUUUUAUAUAUUAAAUUUAAUGAGUACCCUCUGGAGUAUGGCAUGGUGUUUUACUUACCAAUCAAGAAGGCAUUUCAGUAUUCAACUGUACUUGAUUAUAUCAUUGCAGUUAUUUUCUAGAUUUAUUGUGAUCUGUAACAUAUGGAGUUUUCUAGUUAUGAGUAAAAUCACGAGGAUAUAAGUUAGUUGAAAAAACUGCUGAGAUUUAAUGUAUGUGCAUAUUUUAACACAAAUGCCCUAAGUUGACUGGAGGCUAGCAAAUGCGAUGCCCAUCUAGUAGAAGAGCUGGUAGGAGGAUUUGUGGAACUUCAGGCAUGUCAGUCUGACUUUUGUGCUGAGAAGGGUCAUGGAGCAGAUCAUCUUGAGUGUUGUUUCACAAGGAUUGCAAAGUCCUGCAUCUGAGGAAGAAUGACAUGCACGUGUUGAGUGACAUCCAGAUUUGGAUUUUGGAGAGCAGCUUUGCAGAAAAAGAUCUAAGGAUUCUGAUUGAUAUCCAGUUGGAACUUAAGCUAGCCAUGCACUCUUCCCACAAUGAUGAGGCUGACCUGGAGUACUGUGUCUGGUACCAGACUCCCCAGUAAAAAAGAAAUAUGGACAUACUGGAAAGAGUCCAGCAAAGGGCCAUAAAAAUGAUUAACAGACUGGAGAGAAUGCAGAGGGGAGAACCAGGCUCUUUUCAGUGGUACCCAGUGCUAGAAGAAGAGGUAAUGGGCACAAAAUUAAACUAUGGAAAUUCCAUCUGAACUCUAGAAAGCACUUCAUUACUGUGCAGGUGACUGAGCACUAGAACAGUUUAUCCAGAGAGGUUGUAGAGCAUUCCUCCUUUGAGAUCUUCAGAAGCUGACCAUAGUUCUGUUGCUUCAGCAGGGAGUUUGGACCAGAUGGCCUUCAGAGAUCCCUUCAUAUCUCAGCCGUUCUGUGACUCUGGAGUCACAGAAUCACUGAAUUGCAGGAAUUGGAUGGGACCUCAAGAUGUCAUCGAGUCCAACGCUCUGCUAAAACAGGCCAUUGAUGAAGAUGUUGAACAAGACCAGACCCAGUACUGACCCCUGGGGAACACUGCUACCUUCAACUAGACAACAUUGCUGAUCACAAACCCCUGAACUCUGCCAGUCAGCCAGUUUUCAGUCCAUCUCACUGUCCACUCAUCUAUCCUACACUAGCACUUCUAAUAAACGCAAUAGAAAAACCUUAGCAUAAGAGAGGUAGUUAUAAUUAGAAUAAUAAUUAGAAAUAAUCCUGAAUGUACUUCCAAAUUUUAUUAUUAGGAAGGUGUCUUGGUCUCAGCUGGGACUGUUUACUUUUUUUGUUUUGUCUGGUAUGAUGGUAUGUUUUGGCUUUGAGAGAAAAACAACAUUGAUAGCAUACCGAUGUUUUAGCUAUUGCAGAGCGGUGCUGCGCAGAGCCAAAGCUAUUUCAGCUUCUUGUAUUGUUCUGCCAGUGAUGGGGGCUGAGGGGAUGCAGGGAGUUGGGAGGGCACAGAAACAAGAAGCUGACCUCGACUGUCCGAGGGGAUAUUCCAUACCAUACAACAUUGUGUAAAAAAACCUUUAAGAACAGUGGGAAACGGUGCAGGGGACUAACCACUUUGGGGGACUGUUUGGGCAUUGUUUGGAAGGUGGUGAGUAUGUUCUUCAUCACUUGUUUUGUAAAUACAUAUUAUAUUACCAUUAAUAUUAUUUUCCUUUUUUGUCUUAGUAAAUGGUGUUUUAUCUCAGCCCGUGAGUUCUGUUGGUUGUGGUUUGUGGGUUUUUUUUUGUUUUUUUCCCCCACCGUUCUCCCCCCAGUCCCCGUGGGAGGGAGGAGUAAGUAAAUGACUGUGUGGCAUUUAGCUGACUGCUGGGUUAAACUACUUUUUUUUUUCUUUUUUUUCCCCUGCUAUAAAUGUUUUUUUUUGUUGUUGUUUGUGUGUAUUUAGAGGAAUUUGAGUAGCAAGAGGUAAACUGAAAAUAUGUACCUUGUCUCAGUGAGAAAUCACCUACUCAGUAAUAUAAAUCUAUGUGACACAGAAAGCAGUAUAUUCAUCCAAUUAAAUUCAGAGUGUUUUUAGUGUCAUUAUAUGGAUUUUUAAAAUAUGUAUCCUUCAUUUUGGUUCUCAGAAUUGUGUUUUGUGAGACAACACAGGUAUAAACUAAAUAGAAAUGAAAUGCAUCUGAGAAGCAUUAUCCUAUGAUCUAUUGCAUUGUUACAUAUAAAAUGAAAAUAGGGUACGGAGCCUAUUAUAACUGUUAUACUACUUGAAGCCAUGAUAAUGAGAGAACUUAGAAAAUCCUGUAUGUCAAAUAUUAGCCUCUGUCAAGGGACUUUUUUCCCUAUGAAAUUUAGUAACUCUAUAUAGAAUUUGUCAUAAAGUUACUUGGAUGUCACUGAAAUGAUAGUUUGGAGGGAAUUUUUUUUUUGUACUUUAGACUCAGAGUUACUCAGAAUUAUACAUAUCGUAAUUUAAACAGUUGUAUUGAUGUCAUAUUUUGUGAAAGUAUAAAAUAAAGUUGCAGAUUGUGUGGCAGGAACAUUUUUUCUUCGCUUUCA